rnacentral:rRNA from 1 species
AUGUUGUUGACAGGGAGAAUGAUGAUGGUGAUGUCAUCAUACUAUGGGUCAGAGUUGAUCAUCCCUUACUCGUGCAAAGCCAUACAUAACCACUAUUCAAAGCUGAAUGCUGCAACUAAAGACUGCGACAUUGAAGAAACCCUGAACUACUUUUGCAAAGUUAAGGAAGCAGACCCUGGUUUUUUUUUCAGGUGUAAGACGGAUGCGGAAGGCGGGUCUCAGAACUUGUUUUGGGUGGAUGGUGCAGCCAAAAAAGCUUAUGUGACGGCUUAUCACGAUUGUGUGUCGUUUGAUGCAACUUAUCUCACAAACAUGUACAUCCCAAGUGUACCCCCACCAACUGACCAAAACUCUGCCCCGGACUUGCCCGCUGAGUCAGAGAACCAAGUACGCCAAGUGAACAUGACAAUGGAUUUUGCAAAGUUGGCAAAGAAAGCAAUGACAAGUGAUGAGGUUGCUGCUGUGGUUGUGAGGCACAUGAAGGCAGCAGACGAUGAGGUUACUAAACUGAACAAACUAAGGAGAAAGAAGGUCAAGGCAGCCCGGGAAGCAGCCUGGCCUAAGGAAGCAUCAGAUCCUACAUCCCCAUGUGCAUCAGGUCAACCUCCUGCCCCACCUUGGUCCCUGCCCCCUAUGGACCCACCCAGGUCACACAUGAUCAUGGAGACGACCAUUUUCUUCCUGAUAUUCUGUAUGUCAGCUUGUCCGUAG